UACGAAGGGGACUAGCGUUGUUCGAAAUCACUGGGCGUAAAGGGCGCGUAGGCGGCGCGACAAGUCAGGCGUGAAAGCCCCGGGCUCAACCCGGGAAUUGCGCUUGAUACUGUCGGGCUAGAGUGCGGAAGAGGCGAGUGGAAUUCCUGGUGUAGCGGUGAAAUGCGCAGAUAUCAGGAGGAACACCUAUUGCGAAGGCAGCUCGCUGGGACGUAACUGACGCUGAGACGCGAAAGCGUGGGGAGCAAACAGG
rnacentral:rRNA from 1 species